GAUCAUAGCUCAGGACGAACGCUGGCGGCGUGCUUAACACAUGCAAGUCGAACGGAGCGCCAUGGAAUGAGGUUUCGGCCAAAGGAAAUGGUUGCUUAGUGGCGGACUGGUGAGUAACGCGUGAGGAACCUGCCUUUCAGAGGGGGACAACAGUUGGAAACGACUGCUAAUACCGCAUGACGCAUGACCGGGGCAUCCCGGACAUGCCAAAGAUUUAUCGCUGAAAGAUGGCCUCGCG
rnacentral:rRNA from 1 species